rnacentral:misc_RNA from 1 species
CAACAAAAUGCCGCGCCAGGUACUACAGACACAAACUGUGGGUCUUAUCGGAUUUAUUAACUAAUCUACCGCUAGAACUAUUUGGAUUUUGUUUCUCUGUACCUCUUACAGCUAUGCAUUAUCUGAGAGUAAACAAAUUGUUCCGAUUAAAGUAUCUGGUCGAGUUCUAUCAUAAAACUUCAGCAGAACUUACAAAUAAUCUCA